rnacentral:lncRNA from 1 species
GCAUUUCCAACACAAAGCACUCAAUUAAAAAUGAAAUGAUUGUUGGGCAAAGAAGAAUAUUUACUUUGAAGUUUAAUUUUUGGUGUUCAAGUUCUUUUGCUGCUUCUAUCAACGACUCUCAAGUUAAAUUGGUUGAAAUGAAACGAAAUGGCAAAAGCAUAUUUUGCUAUUGUCAGCUGUUGAGUAAUGCAAUUGAUCUCAAUGCCAUCUCUUGACAUUGAGCCUUACAUCAUCUGUUGAUCCCUCGAUGCCGAUGAAAUGAACAAAGUAUACUUUGUUACCGUGAUGAUUAAUCCACGAGGCCUGAGUCUUCAAACAAACAAACUCAUUUUAUGCGUCCAACUGUGUUUGAUUGGCUUUCGUAAUUUCAGCCGACUGCCAACAAUUUCUUGUAAUUAUGAUAAUUUAAGGUGGGGCGGGGGGGAAUUGCCGGCUUCAACAGCUUCGGGAUAGUGUGAUUAACCUCCAAAAUAUCACGAGUCUUUUUCUCGGAAAUGAGCUCAGUUCAGCGUUUAAUCCAAUAAUCUGCUUUUAGCUCCUCGCUGUCUUGUAAAUUUCAGACGGCUCGACUUUCAUUACACUCGAAUUCAAUGC